AUGAUGAUGUCACUGACUCUACUGCUGGCCACCCUGGGGCUCCUUGUUCAAGGUUCAUCAGGACAAAUCACUGUGACUCAGUCUCCUGGAUCUCAGUCUGUUGUUCCAGGACAGACUGUCUCCAUCAGAUGUAAAACCAGUUCAAGUGUUAGUAACAACCUCCACUGGUACCUUCAGAAAUCUGGAGAAGCUCCUAAACUCCUGAUUUAUUAUGCUACAAACCUUCAGCCUGGAGUUUCAGAUCGUUUUAGUGGAAGUGGAUCUGGGACUGACUUCACUCUGACCAUCAGUGGAGUUCAGGCUGAAGAUUCAGGAGUUUAUUACUGUCAGAGUGCACAAUAUAUCAACAGUCAGUGGGUGUUCACACAGUGAAAAAGCGUCGUACAAA